CCUACGGGGAGCUGCAGUGGGGAAUAUUGGACAAUGGGGGCAACCCUGAUCCAGCCAUGCCGCGUGUGUGAAGAAGGCCCUCGGGUUGUAAAGCACUUUCAGUGAGGAAGAACGCCUGGUGGUUAAUACCCAUCAGGAAAGACAUCACUCACAGAAGAAUCACCGGCUAACUCCGUGCCAGCAGCCGCGGUAAUACGGAGGGUGCGAGCGUUAAUCGGAAUUACUGGGCGUAAAGCGCGCGUAGGUGGCUUGAUAAGCCGGUUGUGAAAGCCCCGGGCUCAACCUGGGAACGGCAUCCGGAACUGUCAAGCUAGAGUGCAGGAGAGGAAGGUAGAAUUCCCGGUGUAGCGGUGAAAUGCGUAGAGAUCGGGAGGAAUACCAGUGGCGAAGGCGGCCUUCUGGACUGACACUGACACUGAGAUGCGAAAGCGUGGGUAGCAAACAGGAUUAGAUACCCUUGUAGUC
rnacentral:rRNA from 1 species